AACGAACGUUCGCGGCGCGCCUAACACAUGCAAGUCGAGCGAGAAAGGGCUUCGGUUUCGGUACAGCGGCGCACGGGUGAGUAACACGUAGGCAAUCUGCCCCUGAGUGGGGGAUAACCUUCCGAAAGGAGGGUUAAUACCGCAUGAGACCACGACCCCGCGAGGGGAUGAGGUCAAAGCCGGCCACUUCAUGAAAGCUGGCGUUUGGGGACGAGUUUGCGGCCCAUCAGUUAGUUGGUAGGGUAAUGGUCUACCAAGGCAUAGACGGGUAGCUGGUCUGAGAGGAUGAUCAGCCACAUUGGAACUGAGACACGGUCCAGAUUCCUACGGGAGGUAGCAGUGGGGAAUCUUGCGCAAUGGGCGAAAGUUUGACGCAGCGAUGCUGUGUGAGUGAUGAAGGUCUUUGGGUUGUAAAGUUCUGUGGAGGGAGACGAAUAAGGCAUGGCUAACAUCCAUGUUGAUGACGGUAUUUCUUUAGCAAGCACUGGCUAACUCUGUGCCAGCAGCCGCAGUAAGAC
rnacentral:rRNA from 1 species